rnacentral:rRNA from 1 species
ACUCCUACGGGAGGCAGCAGUAAGGAAUAUUGGUCAAUGGACGCAAGUCUGAACCAGCCAUGCCGCGUGGAGGAUGAAGGCCCUCUGGGUUGUAAACUUCUUUUAUCUGGGACGAAAAAGGGACUUUCUAGUUCAACUGACGGUACCAGAGGAAUAAGCACCGGCUAACUCCGUGCCAGCAGCCGCGGUAAUACGGAGGGUGCAAGCGUUAUCCGGAUUCACUGGGUUUAAAGGGUGCGUAGGUGGGCAGGUAAGUCAGUGGUGAAAUCUUUGGGCUUAACCCGAAAACUGCCAUUGAUACUAUUUGUCUUGAAUAUUGUGGAGGUCAGCGGAAUAUGUCAUGUAGCGGUGAAAUGCUUAGAUAUGACAUAGAACACCAAUUGCGAAGGCAGCUGGCUACACAUAUAUUGACACUGAUGCACGAAAGCGUGGGGAUCAAACAGGAUUAGAUACCCUGGUAGUCCACGCCCUAAACGAUGGAUACUCGACAUACGCGAUAUACUGUGUGUGUCUGAGCGAAAGCAUUAAGUAUCCCACCUGGGAAGUACGAUCGCAAGAUUGAAACUCAAAGGAAUUGACG